rnacentral:rRNA from 1 species
ACGAACUCUGGUAUUGAUUGGUGCUUGCAUCAUGAUUUACAUUUGAGUGAGUGGCGAACUGGUGAGUAACACGUGGGAAACCUGCCCAGAAGCGGGGGAUAACACCUGGAAACAGAUGCUAAUACCGCAUAACAACUUGGACCGCAUGGUCCGAGUUUGAAAGAUGGCUUCGGCUAUCACUUUUGGAUGGUCCCGCGGCGUAUUAGCUAGAUGGUGGGGUAACGGCUCACCAUGGCAAUGAUACGUAGCCGACCUGAGAGGGUAAUCGGCCACAUUGGGACUGAGACACGGCCCAAACUCCUACGGGAGGCAGCAGUAGGGAAUCUUCCACAAUGGACGAAAGUCUGAUGGAGCAACGCCGCGUGAGUGAAGAAGGGUUUCGGCUCGUAAAACUCUGUUGUUAAAGAAGAACAUAUCUGAGAGUAACUGUUCAGGUAUUGACGGUAUUUAACCAGAAAGCCACGGCUAACUACGUGCCAGCAGCCGCGGUAAUACGUAGGUGGCAAGCGUUGUCCGGAUUUAUUGGGCGUAAAGCGAGCGCAGGCGGUUUUUUAAGUCUGAUGUGAAAGCCUUCGGCUCAACCGAAGAAGUGCAUCGGAAACUGGGAAACUUGAGUGCAGAAGAGGACAGUGGAACUCCAUGUGUAGCGGUGAAAUGCGUAGAUAUAUGGAAGAACACCAGUGGCGAAGGCGGCUGUCUGGUCUGUAACUGACGCUGAGGCUCGAAAGUAUGGGUAGCAAACAGGAUUAGAUACCCUGGUAGUCCAUACCGUAAACGAUGAAUGCUAAGUGUUGGAGGGUUUCCGCCCUUCAGUGCUGCAGCUAACGCAUUAAGCAUUCCGCCUGGGAAGUACGGCCGCAAGGCUGAAACUCAAAGGAAUUGACGGGGGCCCGCACAAGCGGUGGAGCAUGUGGUUUAAUUCGAAGCUACGCGAAGAACCUUACCAGGUCUUGACAUACUAUGCAAAUCUAAGAGAUUAGACGUUCCCUUCGGGGACAUGGAUACAGGUGGUGCAUGGUUGUCGUCAGCUCGUGUCGUGAGAUGUUGGGUUAAGUCCCGCAACGAGCGCAACCCUUAUUAUCAGUUGCCAGCAUUAAGUUGGGCACUCUGGUGAGACUGCCGGUGACAAACCGGAGGAAGGUGGGGAUGACGUCAAAUCAUCAUGCCCCUUAUGACCUGGGCUACACACGUGCUACAAUGGAUGGUACAACGAGUUGCGAACUCGCGAGAGUAAGCUAAUCUCUUAAAGCCAUUCUCAGUUCGGAUUGUAGGCUGCAACUCGCCUACAUGAAGUCGGAAUCGCUAGUAAUCGCGGAUCAGCAUGCCGCGGUGAAUACGUUCCCGGGCCUUGUACACACCGCCCGUCACACCAUGAGAGUUUGUAACACCCAAAGUCGGUGGGGUAACCUUUUA